AGCUGGUGUGAGGGUGGGUUACUGCAUCAACUACUCACAUGGGUCACAAGGGUCAACUUUGUUCUCUUAUUCCUUCCUCACUAUUGCACUUGACUAGUCUAGA
ensembl:misc_RNA Gm25427 predicted gene, 25427